rnacentral:rRNA from 1 species
UACAGAGGGGGCAAGCGUUGUUCGGAAUUACUGGGCGUAAAGGGCGCGUAGGCGGCCUGUUAAGUCGAACGUGAAAUCCCCGGGCUCAACCCGGGAACUGCGUCCGAUACUGGAUGGCUUGAGUUUGGGAGAGGGAUGCGGAAUUCCAGGUGUAGCGGUGAAAUGCGUAGAUAUCUGGAGGAACACCGGUGGCGAAGGCGGCAUCCUGGACCAACACUGACACUGAUGAGCGAAAGCCAGGGGAGCAAACGGG